GUUGCACCCACAAUCUUGACUUCAUCCCAACUCACCACAAGUAAUUGUUUUUGUAAGGUGCUGUACGAUGGGCUUUGUCCUAUAUGCGUGACAGAGAUCCGUUUCCUCGAGUUUCUGCAGAGAAAUGAGUCUGGGAAAGUACAUUUUAUUGAUAUCGCCCUGCCAGACUAUGAUGGAGCAAAAUACCACAACGUCACCUAUGAGAUGGCCAUGGAGGUGAUGCAUGUGAUCGAUGAGAAUGACCAGAUUCAUCGUGGGAUCCCAGCGUUUGCUGUCAUGUACAGUGCAGUGGGCCUCGGCUGGUUGGGUCGCUUCAUGAUGUGGUCGCCUGUGAGGCCACUUAUGGACAAAUCUUAUGCCAUCUUUGCAAAGAAUCGCCUUAAGUGGACCGGACGUGGGGAGGAGUGCAUGACAGGACGCUGUGAGAAGAAAAUACAGUGAUUCUUGACCUCAGACAAAAAGGAACUGUUCAAACAGGUUAUGAAUAAGUGCAUAAACACCUCAUGGUCAUUCCUGUAUAGCCACUGGUUUAUCAUAAACCUGACAUUAAAGGUUAAUAUAUGUUGCUAAAGUUAAA
ensembl:lncRNA